CUACAUGAUGAUAUUUCACUUUUUACUUUUUCUGGUACCUCUUAUGUUAGAGCCCUCGGGCUCAAUGAAUGAACUGGACUUCUGACA
rfam:Stachybotrys chlorohalonata IBT 40285 unplaced genomic scaffold scaffold1381, whole genome shotgun sequence.